AGGAUUAUAUUUAAUAAUAAUAUUUGGGUUGCAUUCAAAAGGUGCUAAUAAAGCUAAUCUUU
rnacentral:tRNA from 1 species